rnacentral:lncRNA from 1 species
GGGCACUAUGAUGAGGCCGGGUGAGCGCACAGUGGGACACUAUGAUGAGGCCAGGUGAGUGCACACUGGGACACUAUGAUGAGGCCAGGUGAGUGCACACUGGUGCACUAUGAUGAGGCUAGGUGAGUGCACACUCUGGCAGUAUGAUGAGGCUAGGUGAGUGCACACUGGGGCACUAUGAUGAGGCUAGGUGAGCGGACAUUGGGACACUGAUGAGGUCGGGUGAGCCCACACUGGGGCACUAUGAUGAGGCCGGGUGAGUGCACUCUGGGACACUAUGAUGAGGCCAGGUGAAUGCACACUUGGACACUAUGAUGAGGCCCAGUGAGCCCACAAUGGGACACUAUGAUGAGGCCGGGUGAGUGCACACUGGGACACUAUGAUGAGGCUAGGUGAGCGGACACUGGGACACUAUGAUGAGGCCGGGUGAGCCCACACUGGGGCACUAUGAUGAGGGUAGGUUAGUGCACACUGGGACACUAUGUUGAGACUAGUUGAGUGCACACUGGGACACUGUGAUGAGGCCGGGUGUGCCCACACUGGGACCCUAUGAUGAGGCUAGGUGAGCGCACACUGCGACACUAUGAUGAGGCCGGGUGAGCACACACUGGGACACUAUGAUGAGGCUAAGUGAGUUCACACUGGGACACUAUGAUGAGGCCAGGUGAGUGCACACUGGG